AUACCGAUGUGGUAUUCGGGUGCAGAGACGCAGAGUGAGGGACAGCAUGAUUUGUGUUAACCCGAGGGCGGCUGCCCUCAGAGCCAUGUCGCAGAGGCUACAUAGAAGAUCAUACCGUGUUCCUGGACCAAACUUGUUAUGGCACCUUGAUGGAAACCACAAACUGAUAAGGAAGAUGUAUCUUUGUGAUCGACACAAUUAUCUAUAUCACUGGUGAGAAGUUGUACAUUGUAACAUCUCAAAUUGUUCAUCAACUUGUUCAACAACAACUAACAGUUCAGUUUAGCAAGCAAUGGUCCAAUAUGUCAAUCAUGUCGAUAAUAAUUGUUUUAUUGUGUUUCUGCUACUUCUGUAAUCGAUAGAAUAUCUGCAUCAUGAAAUUAACAAACAUGCUUAUAUUGAGGACAUACUGAGGCAAAAACAGUUGGAACAAAGUAUUUGUGUCUAAGGGUGAACAACAGGAGAGUCUGUCCUCUUGACCCAUUAACUUGACUCAUUAACAUUGUUCCACAUUUUGGAUGUUCAUUUAGUAUAUGGUCUGCUGCUUUGUUAUAUACUGCAGGAACCUGAUGGAACAUCUAAAUGGUAAAGGAGGAUGGUGAUGUUUGUAUAUUUCAUGUGUUCAGAUUUUGUAUCAACCCGUGCUGUGUUUUUUGAUUUCGGUGGAGGAUAGUGAUAGAGGAAAUUAUGGUUGACAUGACUAAUUAUGUAUACAUUCCAAUCAGAACUGACUAGUCAAAAUGCUAUAAUGUACUGUACAUGAGAAUUUUCUCUCUUGCUCCCAUUCCCAAUUGUAUAUAAUGUAGUCAGGAGUUUAGUAACAAUGAAGGUCUGUUCCUUAGUUCAUUCAGUUGUACAAUCUCCAGGUGGUGGGAACGGCCCAUCUCCAGACUGUCUAGAAUGUUGAUUUAUACUGACUGGCCUUGACUUCGUGCUGAUAACGCGAAGGCUCCAGAGCUAGAGGGUCCCUCUACUUGUGAAAUAGAUAGAAAGUUUAGAAAACGCUGACGUCAUUUUCAGUUUAUAACCUGUGGAAAUAUGUGUAUGCGGUUAGUACUCUCUUGUAAUAAACGCUGUUACCUUUGGCUUUUAAGACUGGUCUCGAUCUACUUCAUGCAUAAUUAAUGAACUUACAACUCAUUAAUGAAUUAGAAAUGAGUGCGAAUUGGUUUUGGCAAUAAAACAUACAGGAAUUUAGAAUUCCUCUAUCAGAUAGUCAUACAUGGUGACAUUGAUGGGUGGCAGCCACCAUGUUUCACCGUGCUUCCAGCAACAAUCGCAGCAGUACUGUAUUGGAUUGCUUCAUGAAUGCUGUCUCAAGAAAUGGCGUUCCCUCCAGAGUUAGAACGGACCAUGGGAAGUAUCUGAGCUUUGUUAUUCUGAAUGUCUCUUUUAGUGUUGACCUCCAAACACUGCUGAAGUUAAUGAGAUGCCAACCAAAUGAAUGUGAUGAUGGACAACGUUUAUAAUUGUGCAAUGAGAGGCUUUAAGAGAGCCCGCUUAUACAUGGUUUUCAGGGAUGCUGACGGAAAAGGGGCAGCUGAUGAGGGUGGUCCCUAAAGAUAAUUUCUCUGGCUGCUAAUGAGUGCCAUCCAUUCCUCUGCAAUAUUUGAGGGACCUGAUUGACAAAAAUGCCUUUCUUGCAACUCUCAAGCAACAUGGGGGUGUAGAGACACAUUUUUCCAGAGAGGCUGUACAGGAAAGUAUGUGGCCUACAACCUCCUGUGCCAGAACUGAAAGAAAUAGCAGAAUAUGACUUCACACAGAAGUUGGAAACGGGGGGAACACAUACCCUUUAACCAUGGAGAAGGUUUUCAUUUUUACUUCAGGGGGGCUUCAGCAUUCCUAGGCUGGGAUUGCCAGUGGAGCGACAGCUACAGUUCUCUGCAACCGCACGGCAAGCAGUUCCGGAGCGCCAAGUCUAGGUCCAAGAGGUUUCGAAACAGAUUCUACCCCCAAGCCAUAAGACUACUGAACAUCUAAUCAAAUGGCUACCCAGAUUAUUUGCUGCUACUCUAUCUAUGCAUAGUCACAUUAAUAUCUCUACCUACAUGUAUAUAUUAACUCGACUAACGAGUGUCCCAGCACAUUCUCUGUACCGGUAUCCCCUGUAUAUAGACUCGCUAUUGUUAUUUUACUGAUGCUCUUUAAUUAUUUACUUUUCUUCUUGCAUUGUUGGUUAUGGGCUUGAAAGUAAGCAUUUCACUGUUGUAUUUGGCGCAUGUGACAAAUACAAUUUGAUUUGAUUUAAAUAAUUCAUUUUGGGGGAAUUAUCCAAAACGUUUAUUGCAUGACCAGUAUAUGCAUGACAUAUCUAUGUUCGGAAUACUGCAGCCAAUGUUAAUUGAUGUGUCCCAAAAUAAUUGAUAUUAUGAAGGUUUACGACAGGAUUGUCCAUCAGCAAAAAAAAGUUGUGUAGUGAAAGUUUUCAAAAAAAGGCACAGCACACCAACAUCAAAACCUUAUUCCAACUGUAAAGUAUGGUGGAGGAAGCAUCCUGGUUUGGGGCUGCUUUGCUGCCUCAGGACCUUGGACAGCUUGCUAUUGUUAGGUUCUAAUUGUCAGAGUAAAUAACUCAAACUCUCAGAAGCUUAACCAAGUUUAAUUCUUCGCAAAGGGUUGACACAGCUGUAAUUCAAACCCAGACAUGGCUUCCCCCGUGGUAGUAUUCAUACCCCACUUUGGGUGGACCCUCCUCCUUAUCGCUAAACGUUGCAUAAUUAUUGCUAAGCAGGGAGCUAAGUGAUAUGAGCCUUCAACGGUUUCUCCCCUUAUCAAUACUGCCACAUGCGAUCGUGUUUCCUGCACACAGCCCCUCCCAAGCUUCAUUAUGGCACCGCUCAUGUCUCUUUUGUAACUAAUGUUCCUACACUUCUGAGUAUAAGAAUGUUCAAAGUUUCACCCAGAAUCCAACCCUAUCAUCGACAGAAAAAUGAAAUCCUAAGUUUAUCAAUACAUUUUGCAGGAGAAUGUUAAGCUAUCUGUCUGCCAAUUAAAGCUUAACAGAAGUUGGGUGAUGCAACAGGACCACGACCCAAAACACAGAAGUAAAUCAACAACAGAAUGGCUUCAACAGAAGAAAAUGCGUCUUCUGGAGUGGCCCAGUCAGAGUCCUGACCUCAACCCGAUUGAGAUGCUGUGGCAUGACCUCAAGAGAGCAGUUCACACCAGACAUGUCAUGAAUAUUGCUGAAAUGAAACAGUUUUGUAAAGAGGAAUGGUCCAAAAUUCCUCCUGACUGUUGUGCAGGUCUGAUCCGCAACUACAGAAAACGUUAGGUUGAAGUCAUUGCUGCCAAAAGAGGGUCAACCAGUUAUUAAAUACAAGGGUUCACAUACUUUUUCUACUCUGCACUAAAUGUUUACACGGUGUGUUCAAUAAAGACAUGAAAACGUAA